rnacentral:lncRNA from 1 species
AAAUCCCCAGUGCCUUGUAUAGUCCCUAUAUCAAGCCGCCCCCGUCAUUUCUCCAUUCCAGGUAUUAAUCUUCGGCUUAACUUCUCUUUCAUGAGAAACUAAGCUCCAAUAGUUUAAAACCAGAUUUGUCACAGGAUAAUUCUAACAGUCAACGGGUUUGUUAUUUAGUUUGCCUUGCCCUAAACAACAACUGCAAAACAAAACCAGCACCAACCACAAGAGUCAUUCUUCUAUGUGGCAGUCCGGCAGCACACUCACAAGGGUGGGAUCAAGUCGUAUAGCCACGUGGUCCAGACUCCCGUAUAUAAGAAUUUCUACAACCACAGCAGCCUUCGCCACCGAUGUUGGUGAUGGAGCCACAACACGACUGAUAUUUG